GCGCGUGUAGCUCAGUUGGUUAGAGCGUUUGCAUGACACGCAAAAGGUCCCCCGUUCGAGUCGGGGCACGCGCA
rnacentral:tRNA from 1 species